rnacentral:rRNA from 1 species
UCUCACCACGAGAUGAGUCCGCGUCCCAUCAGCUAGUUGGCGGUGUAAUACGAACCACCAAGGCUUAGACGGGUAGCUGGUCUGAGAGGAUGACCAGCCACACUGGGACUGAGACAGGCCCAGACUCCUACGGGAGGCAGCAGUGGGGAAUAUUGGACAAUGGGCGAAAGCCUGAUCCAGCCAUGCCGCGUGAGUGAUGAAGGCCUUCGGGGUCGUAAAGCUCUGUGGGGAGGGACGAAAAAGCGUGACCUAAUACGUCUCGCCUUGACGGUACCUCCUUAGCAAGCACCGGCUAACUCCGUGCCAGCAGCCGCGGUAAUACGGAGGGUGCAAACGUUGCUCGGAAUUAUUGGGCGUAAAGCGCACGUAGGCGGUCCGCUAAGUCGGAUGUGAAAGCCCUCGGCUUAACCGAGGAAGUGCAUCCGAAACUGACGGGGCUAGAGUACGGAAGAGGGUUUCGGAAUUCCCGGUGUAGAGGUGAAAUUCGUAGAUAUCGGGAG